rnacentral:ncRNA from 1 species
AAACUCUGGAGAAUCCCUAUUUUGGGUGCCGAAGGUGCAAGGUCGCAAGACCGAAUCUCUCAGGCCAAAGGACAGAGCGG